rnacentral:sRNA from 1 species
UAGUUUGUAGUUUGCAGUUUGUAGUUUGCAGUUUGUAGUUUAUAAUUUGUAGUUU